GGGGGGGGCCGCUUUAAACAAAAAAGUCUCUUCUUUAUUAUCUAGAAACGCCGGCCCCCGUGAAGAAACCUAUAUUAUAUUGAAGGUAAGAAGACCCUGGCCCCCUUUAGAGUAAAGCAGGAAUAUUAGUAUUAAAAAAAAUCAAUGACUACAUAACUCUUUAGUUGGGGCGACUAAGGAACAAAUAAAGCUUCUUUUAGUUUUUUAGAUCAAUAAAUUUAGAUCCAGCAAAGCUGAUUAAAAGAAUUAGUUACCGCAGGGAUAACAGCAUAAUCUCUCUUGAGAGACCUAAUCGAAAGAGGGGGUUGUGACCUCGAUGUUGGACUAAAAUAUCCUGAAGAUGCAGACGUCUUCGAAGGUUGGUCUGUUCGACCAUUAAAAUUUUACGUGAUCUGAGUUCAGACCGGAC
rnacentral:rRNA from 1 species